rnacentral:lncRNA from 1 species
AUGCGAUAUAUUUUCUCUGGUGUGAGACUAUUAUGCUUUUGAAGUAUCUAGAAAAUAAAUUUUAUGAUUUUUCGAUAUCAUUUGCCUAGUGAUCGACGGGGCUCAAAAUCAAUAAUUUUAAUAGCCGUAGUGAUCCGUUUGCAAGUUUAACGGUGUAGAAAUAUACCGACCGUCUCUAGAGCAAGUGUUAAAGGGCUUGAUGGUUGGUACCCAAGACCCAAGUUCGAAUCCUAGUUGAUUUAUAUUUCUAACUAAGUUUAUUUCUAAAUGAAAUAAACGAAGCGGGUAGCGUACUACCUAUCUCUCUCAAAAAAAAAAAAUGGUGUAGAAAUAUCCAAAUCACGUGAAAUUUUGGUAGAAAAUUUUUUAUACUAUAUAUAACAAGAUUAAUAUCUUUGAUCUAAAAUUUUAAUGUCAUAUUAUCACAUUUUGUAUGAUUUUUAGUUUCAGCCGUUGAUUUUGAGCCCCUUCGUUCACUAGGCAAAUAAUAUCGAAAAAUCGCAUAAUUUAUUUUCUAGGUAAUUCAAAUACUCUAGAUCAAGUUUAACGGAACCGAUCGACGAUUCGAAAGUCGCAACAUAGAAAACGACAUGGAAGCACGGAAGGUUCCGUACUUCCAGAAGCAUAGUAGGCUUACUCAUA